UUAAGCGACUAAGCGUACACGGUGGAUGCCCUGGCAGUCAGAGGCGAUGAAGGACGUGCUAAUCUGCGAAAAGCGUCGGUAAGGUGAUAUGAACCGUUACAGCCGGCGAUGUCCGAAUGGGGAAACCCAGUGCAAUUCGUUGCACUAUCGUUAACUGAAUACAUAGGUUAACGAGGCGAACCGGGGGAACUGAAACAUCUAAGUACCCCGAGGAAAAGAAAUCAACCGAGAUUCCCCCAGUAGCGGCGAGCGAACGGGGAGCAGCCCAGAGUCUGAAUCAGCUUGUGUGUUAGUGGAACGGUCUGGAAAGUCCGACGGUACAGGGUGAUAGUCCCGUACACCAAAAUGCACAGGUUGUGAACUCGAAGAGUAGGGCGGGACACGUGGUAUCCUGUCUGAAUAUGGGGGGACCAUCCUCCAAGGCUAAAUACUCCUGACUGACCGAUAGUGAACCAGUACCGUGAGGGAAAGGCGAAAAGAACCCCGGCGAGGGGAGUGAAAAAGAACCUGAAACCGUGUACGUACAAGCAGUGGGAGCACCUUCGGGUGUGACUGCGUACCUUUUGUAUAAUGGGUCAGCGACUUAUAUUCUGUAGCAAGGUUAACCGUAUAGGGGAGCCGCAGGGAAACCGAGUCUUAACUGGGCGUUAAGUUGCAGGGUAUAGACCCGAAACCCGGUGAUCUAGCCAUGGGCAGGUUGAAGGUUGGGUAACACUAACUGGAGGACCGAACCGACUAAUGUUGAAAAAUUAGCGGAUGACUUGUGGCUGGGGGUGAAAGGCCAAUCAAACCGGGAGAUAGCUGGUUCUCCCCGAAAGCUAUUUAGGUAGCGCCUCGUGAACUCAUCUUCGGGGGUAGAGCACUGUUUCGGCUAGGGGGUCAUCCCGACUUACCAACCCGAUGCAAACUACGAAUACCGAAGAAUGUUAUCACGGGAGACACACGGCGGGUGCUAACGUCCGUCGUGAAGAGGGAAACAACCCAGACCGCCAGCUAAGGUCCCAAAGUCAUGGUUAAGUGGGAAACGAUGUGGGAAGGCACAGACAGCCAGGAUGUUGGCUUAGAAGCAGCCAUCAUUUAAAGAAAGCGUAAUAGCUCACUGGUCGAGUCGGCCUGCGCGGAAGAUGUAACGGGGCUAAACCAUGCACCGAAGCUGCGGCAGCGACACUAUGUGUUGUUGGGUAGGGGAGCGUUCUGUAAGCCUGCGAAGGUGUGCUGUGAGGCAUGCUGGAGGUAUCAGAAGUGCGAAUGCUGACAUAAGUAACGAUAAAGCGGGUGAAAAGCCCGCUCGCCGGAAGACCAAGGGUUCCUGUCCAACGUUAAUCGGGGCAGGGUGAGUCGACCCCUAAGGCGAGGCCGAAAGGCGUAGUCGAUGGGAAACAGGUUAAUAUUCCUGUACUUGGUGUUACUGCGAAGGGGGGACGGAGAAGGCUAUGUUAGCCGGGCGACGGUUGUCCCGGUUUAAGCAUGUAGGCUGGUUAUCCAGGCAAAUCCGGAUAAUCAAGGCUGAGGUGUGAUGACGAGGCACUACGGUGCUGAAGUAACAAAUGCCCUGCUUCCAGGAAAAGCCUCUAAGCAUCAGGUAACAUCAAAUCGUACCCCAAACCGACACAGGUGGUCAGGUAGAGAAUACCAAGGCGCUUGAGAGAACUCGGGUGAAGGAACUAGGCAAAAUGGUGCCGUAACUUCGGGAGAAGGCACGCUGGUGUGUAGGUGAAGUCCCUGCGGAUGGAGCUGAGACCAGUCGAAGAUACCAGCUGGCUGCAACUGUUUAUUAAAAACACAGCACUGUGCAAACACGAAAGUGGACGUAUACGGUGUGACGCCUGCCCGGUGCCGGAAGGUUAAUUGAUGGGGUUAUCCGUAAGGAGAAGCUCUUGAUCGAAGCCCCGGUAAACGGCGGCCGUAACUAUAACGGUCCUAAGGUAGCGAAAUUCCUUGUCGGGUAAGUUCCGACCUGCACGAAUGGCGUAAUGAUGGCCAGGCUGUCUCCACCCGAGACUCAGUGAAAUUGAACUCGCUGUGAAGAUGCAGUGUACCCGCGGCAAGACGGAAAGACCCCGUGAACCUUUACUAUAGCUUGACACUGAACAUUGAGCCUUGAUGUGUAGGAUAGGUGGGAGGCUUUGAAGCGUGGACGCCAGUCUGCGUGGAGCCAACCUUGAAAUACCACCCUUUAAUGUUUGAUGUUCUAACGUUGGCCCCUGACCGGGGUUGCGGACAGUGUCUGGUGGGUAGUUUGACUGGGGCGGUCUCCUCCCAAAGCGUAACGGAGGAGCACGAAGGUUAGCUAAUCCUGGUCGGACAUCAGGAGGUUAGUGCAAUGGCAUAAGCUAGCUUGACUGCGAGCGUGACGGCGCGAGCAGGUGCGAAAGCAGGUCAUAGUGAUCCGGUGGUUCUGAAUGGAAGGGCCAUCGCUCAACGGAUAAAAGGUACUCCGGGGAUAACAGGCUGAUACCGCCCAAGAGUUCAUAUCGACGGCGGUGUUUGGCACCUCGAUGUCGGCUCAUCACAUCCUGGGGCUGAAGUAGGUCCCAAGGGUAUGGCUGUUCGCCAUUUAAAGUGGUACGCGAGCUGGGUUUAGAACGUCGUGAGACAGUUCGGUCCCUAUCUGCCGUGGGCGCUGGAGAAUUGAGGGGGGCUGCUCCUAGUACGAGAGGACCGGAGUGGACGCAUCACUGGUGUUCGGGUUGUCAUGCCAAUGGCACUGCCCGGUAGCUAAAUGCGGAAGAGAUAAGUGCUGAAAGCAUCUAAGCACGAAACUUGCCCCGAGAUGAGUUCUCCCU
rnacentral:rRNA from 1 species